AACAGACAAAGUGCUGGAACAAACUGAUAAAUUAAAUAGCAGCAAGUUACCCAGACCUGAUGGUAUUAAUCCAGAAGUUGUGAAGGGCCUGAAGAAUGAUGUGCUUGAGCUGCUCACAACAGAAAAGUUAUUCAAGACAAGCCUAAGGAAAUAUGGAAUGUUUCACCAAGCCAAGUGGAAAAUACUGUGCUAUGACAAAUUGAUAUGAAAAUGUGUAUGAAAAAGUAAUGUAGGUAGGGAAAAAAACAUAUGCCAUUGACUAGCACUGUGGUUAAAUACACUGAUUACCACUUUUGAGACACCCUGCAUUACUCUUCUUCCAUGCUGAAAACUGGCUUCCUACUCUUUGCUCAUCAGUUUCUAAUUUCUGCUGAAAUAUGAACCUGCAUCCUAUGACAACUGUUACUCUUUGAUAACUUUCUUAAAGUUAUUCUGCAGAAAGUCCUGAGCUCUGGUACAUUUGUAUUCUGUGUGGACUAACAAGUAAUCCAUGUGGUGCAGUGGCUGACAAAUGCCAGUGAUGGUAAUUAAUACCAUAAUCAGCUGUUGAUGCUACUAUGAUGAGCCUCUGCUCUUGUGACUGAGCAUGGUGGCUGGGGUUGGUACAGGAUUAACAUGUGUCCUGGUACUGCUUCUCCACAGAAUCAUCCUUAGUGCUGCUGCUGUUGGGUUUGGUAGAGAA